rnacentral:rRNA from 1 species
CGGUAUCAUCCUUUCGGGGGUGAGAGAGUGGCGAACUGGUGAGUAACACGUAGGUUAUCUACCCUCAAGACGGGGACAACCCAGGGAAACUUGGGCUAAUACCGGAUGUGAGCAACUUUUAGUUGUUUGAAAGGUGGCGUAAGCUGUCGCUUGGGGAUGAGCCUGCGUCCUAUUAGUUAGUUGGUGAGGUAACGGCUCACCUAGGCAAUGAUAGGUAGGCGGCCUUAACGGGUGGUCGCCCACACUGGGAUUGAGAUACGGCCCAGACUCCUACGGGAGGCAGCAGUCGAGAAUAGUCUACAAUGGUCGGAAGACUGAUAGUGCGACGCCGCGUGAACGAUGAAUCCCUUCGGGGUGUAAAGUUCUUUUAUAUGUGAGCAGUGCUUCUUAUAUUAACAGUAUGGGGAGAGAGAUAUUAGCAUAUGAAUAAGCAACGGCUAACUCCGUGCCAGCAGCCGCGGUAACACGGGGGUUGCGAGCGUUGUCCGGAAUUACUAGGCGUAAAGGGCAGGCAGGCGGAUCCAUAAGUUUAUCGUUUAAGGCGUCGGCUUAACCGGCGUAGGGCGGUAGAUACUGUGGAUCUGGAAUGCGGUUGGGGAAGACAGAAUUCCUGGUGUAGCGGUGGAAUGCGCAGAGAUCAGGAGGAAUACCGAAGGCGAAGGCAGUCUUCCAAGCCGUUAUUGACGCUCAACUGCGAAGGUGUGGGUAUCAAACAGGAUUAGAUACCCUGGUAGUCCACACAGUAAACGAUAAUCACUGGGUGUCGGGUUC